rnacentral:rRNA from 1 species
GAUGAACGCUAGCGGCAGGCUUAAUACAUGCAAGUCGAGGGGCAGCAUAAGUAGCAAUACUUGAUGGCGACCGGCAAACGGGUGCGGAACACGUACGCAACCUUCCUUUAAGUGGGGAAUAGCCCGGGGAAACCCGGAUUAAUACCCCGUAAUAUUAUGAUGUGGCAUCACAUUAUAAUUAUAGAUUCAUCGCUUAAAGGUGGGCGUGCGCCUGAUUAGGUAGUUGGCGGAGAAUAGCCCACCAAGCCUGCGAUCAGUAACUGGUGUGAGAGCACGACCAGUCACACGGGCACUGAGACACGGGCCCGACUCCUACGGGAGGCAGCAGUAAGGAAUAUUGGUCAAUGGACGCAAGUCUGAACCAGCCAUGCCGCGUGGAGGAUGAAGGUCCCCUGGAUUGCAAACUUUCUUUUAUUUGGGAAGAAAUGUGAUGAUUCUUUAUCACUUGACGGUACCAGAUGAAUAAGCACCGGCUAACUCCGUGCCAGCA